UCGAUUUUUGAGGCCUCCACAAAUAAAAGAAGGAGAUUAUGUAUAUAAAUAUGCAAUAAAAAAAUUAAAUAUUUUGGGCAAUGACGAAACUUUUAUAACACCACGACACCAUAAAAGGUUUUAUGAUUCAUAUCUUGGCAAGGAGAUUUAGGACGGCCGAUUAGUCGAGCAACCACUUCGUAGCUAUAGCGAGUCUAAAACUUAAUCCGAG
rnacentral:lncRNA from 1 species